rnacentral:rRNA from 1 species
CUGCCCAGUGACAUAUUUUUAACGGCCGCGGUAUUCUAACCGUGCAAAGGUAGCGUAAUCACUUGUCUUCUAAAUAAAGACCAGUAUGAACGGCUAAAUGAGGACAAACCUGUCUCCUACGACAAAUCAGUGAAACUGAUCUUCCAGUACAAAAGCUGGAAUAAACACAUAAGACGAGAAGACCCUGUGGAGCUUACAAACACAAGAUCAACAAGGCAAACCACAAAACCAACAAUUGACCCUGAGUUUUAAGUUGGGGCGACUUCGGAAAAAAACAGAACUUCCGAGAACGGGGCCACCAACCCCUGCUAAGGAACACAACCCAAAGCAUCAACAUAUAAAAGACCCAGUCAAACUGAUUAACGAACCAAGUUACCCCAGGGAUAACAGCGCUAUCUUCUUCAAGAGUCCAUAUCGACAAGAAGGUUUACGACCUCGAUGUUGGAUCAGGACACCCAAAUGGUGCAGCAGCUAUUAAAGGUUCGUUUGUUCAACGAUUAACAGUCCUACGUG